rnacentral:rRNA from 1 species
GUGGGGAAUAUUGGGCAAUGGACGCAAGUCUGACCCAGCAACGCCGCGUGAAGGAAGAAGGCUUUCGGGUUGUAAACUUCUUUGACAGGGGAAGAGCAGAAGACGGUACCCUGAAAACAAGCCACGGCUAACUACGUGCCAGCAGCCGCGGUAAUACGUAGGUGGCAAGCGUUGUCCGGAUUUACUGGGUGUAAAGGGCGUGCAGCCGGGCCGACAAGUCAGAUGUGAAAUCCCGAGGCUUAACCUCGGAACUGCAUUUGAAACUGUUGGUCUUGAGUAUCGGAGAGGUCAUCGGAAUUCCUUGUGUAGCGGUGAAAUGCGUAGAUAUAAGGAAGAACACCAGUGGCGAAGGCGGAUGACUGGACGACAACUGACGGUGAGGCGCGAAAGCGUGGGGAGCGAACAGGAUUAGAAACCCCAGUAGUCC